CCCAGUGACAGCAGUUAGCUCCUCCCACUAGGCUCAAGUAUAUAAGAGCCGUGAACAUCUGGCUUAAUUUUCUGUUCACGUGAACAGCGUGCGAGAACCUUCACUUCCCUCUUCACAUCAUCACCUCCAACAGGAUUUUGUUGAGUAUUUAGGCGGUGUGCAGGUUUAUGUACGCAAUGUUGGCGUACAUGCGGCUCAUCAUCUACUCUACCCUCCACAUCCCUGCUGUACGUGCGCACGUAUGCGCCAGGUGGAUAAAAAAAGCAUAGGAAAUAAAAACUAUUACAACGUUUCUUGUAGGAGAAACGUCGUGUAAAGGUCUCUUUCGCAGUGUUGUUAUCCAUCACUUGUGGGUUGGCAGCCACGCUCGCUCCACUACGUACCCACCCGCCCGUCGAGCACAAUACCUUUACCGCUGGCUAGGUUGUUGGUUCCCUUGUAUGCGCAACACCAAGCACUCUAUUCUUAGCCUCGAAAUGCCAAGAGUUGAUCUUGGAAGAGAACGACUACCCCCUCCUUCUUACAACGAUCCCUCCGGUAAUAACUAAUUCCCCCAACCAACUUCGCCAACCACUCACACUCAAUAUUUUAAGGCAGAAAUAGGAUCUUAUCGGUCGACCUUUCAAAAAGGUGAAGGUCUCUAGAUCACCUAAAAAACUCUUAUCAAACCUGAAUAAAUACCACCACCUAGCCCUGCAUGACUCGAAUUUAGUGUUUCCCUGUGGUAAUAAUUAUCCAUGAAACAAAAAACGUGUUGCGAGGUGAUUUACCAAAAUUACGCUCCCAUAAUGCUACGGGUGCGCCAUGGUAUUGGUAUAGACACUUUGUUGGUGUGGUCCCAUCCCUACAUAAUGUUUUAAUUAUACACUCAUUUUAUAUACGUAUAAUAUACCUCUGCAUUAUCCUGA